rnacentral:rRNA from 1 species
CGCGGCCUAUCAGCUUGUUGGUGGGGUAACGGCCUACCAAGGCAACGACGGGUAGCUGGUCUGAGAGGACGAUCAGCCACACUGGGACUGAGACACGGCCCAGACUCCUACGGGAGGCAGCAGUAGGGAAUCUUGCGCAAUGGGCGAAAGCCUGACGCAGCAACGCCGCGUGAGGGAUGGAGGCCUUCGGGUUGUAAACCUCUUUCAGCAGGGACGAUUGUGACGGUACCUGCAGAAGAAGCCCCGGCCAACUACGUGCCAGCAGCCGCGGUAAUACGUAGGGGGCGAGCGUUGUCCGGAAUUAUUGGGCGUAAAGAGCUCGUAGGCGGUUUGGUAAGUCGGGUGUGAAAACCCACGGCUUAACCGCGGGCUUGCAGCCGAUACGGGCGGGCUGGAGUUCGGUAGGGGAGACUGGAAUUCCUGGUGUAGCGGUGAAAUGCGCAGAUAUCAGGAGGAACACCGGUGGCGAAGGCGGGUCUCUGGGCCGAUACUGACGCUGAGGAGCGAAAGCGUGGGGAGCGAACAGGAUUAGAUACCCUGGUAGUCCACGCUGUAAACGUUGGGCGCUAGGUGUGGGGGGCCUCUCCGGUUCUCUGUGCCGCAGCUAACGCAUUAAGCGCCCCGCC